UACGAGGGGGGCGAGCGUUGUUCGGAAUUAUUGGGCGUAAAGGGCGCGUAGGCGGUGCGGUAAGUCACCUGUGAAACCUCUGGGCUUAACUCAGAGCCUGCAGGCGAAACUGCCGUGCUGGAGUGUGGGAGAGGUGCGUGGAAUUCCCGGUGUAGCGGUGAAAUGCGCAGAUAUCAGGAGGAACACCGGUGGCGAAGGCGGGUCUCUGGGCCGAUACUGACGCUGAGGAGCGAAAGCGUGGGGAGCGAACAGG
rnacentral:rRNA from 1 species